AAACCAGUGUCAUCGGCAACAUAAUUUACAGUAUAUGCAACAUUAGUUUGUGGGUCAAUGAAAGAGAAGGUACCUCGAACUCGUAAGAAUUGACCAUCAGUUCCUCCUUCGACCACUUCUGCAGAUUCCUGUUUAACUUGACCGUCGGAAAGUUGGAAACCGUAAUUAUAACCACCAAGUCCAACAUUGUCAGAGGGAGUUUCUUUAACGAGAACUAUUUCUUGAUAUAGCGGCGCAGCGGAAACAACGACAACCAGAGCAAAAAUAAUAAUAAUCUAAAAGGAGGCAGACUUCCAAAAUUCUUCAGUAAAGAUGUCGAAAUCAUCGAGUGGCAUUGGCCGGUUGGCGGUGGUAGAACGAUGACCGACAAAGGAAGAGGCGGUGAAUGUCAGGCAAGAAUUCAAGGAAGAGCGGCCCAGGAUCGAAAA